ACGAAUUGCCUCCUCAUCUUUUAUUGUCGUUCCUUUUCUGCAGGACCGUUGUUUGCUCUCAGCGGCAGUUGCUGGGGCUCACAGAACUGGCUGUUGGGAGGGAGAAGGGAGGCAACGUCGCCUGGUCCUGCCAUCCCAUUUUACUGCUUAACUCAACCUGGAGUGUCAGGACCUAUUCUCCUCCUGCAUUCUCUCUGCACUAUAAGGGGGAGCCAAGUCACUCUGUAUUCCCUGGACAGCCAAGCUGGCUGGAAUAGGGUUCUAGAGUGGAGGGGGCUCUGUCCUUUAUGGCGAGUUUCUAAAAGAUUAGCAUCAGUGUCUUUUGACAGUACAGCGCCUGGGGUGGGACGCGGAGAGGAGGCUUUGCUUGCUAAACGGCUUCUUUCUCCUCUGGAAAUCUGGAUUUGUUUCCUCGGCCCCCUCCCUCCCCCCCGCUCCUUUCUUUCUCCCCUCCCGUCUUUAGCGAAGUGACACAGGCGACACCUGCUCGCUCGUGUUGGAUGUUGGAACUAGCACUUUCUCGUUGGUGACGGUGCCAGGGCAUUGCUGCCAGGGGGACAUCGGCGGGUUUCCCUUCCUUCUAGCCCACGAUGCCUAGAAGGGCAGCGGGUGGGCUGCGCGGGGCUCUGCCCUCAGCACUUCGAGGCGGGAUUGAGGGGCUGAAGCUGGCCAGGAGUUGCUGCUAAGUGGACUCGAGUGGAAGGAGCAAAGUCUCCGCGAGGGCACCGGCGAGACCUAUCUGCGAGCAGUGGGCACAGGGGAACCUGCACCGAGGAACGCGGGCGUCUGGCGGGGGGACUUUGGCCGAGCUCAGAGCCUCUCCUUCCUGUCCCGAGCCUCCCAGCAACUCAGCCACGCUGGAGCCCGGGUACCUGCAAGAGUCGGGGAACUCGAGAAGUGCGUGGCCGAGGCUGUUUCCUGAAGGUGAAUCAUUCCGUCCAAUUGCCUUUCCCUAGAGAACAAGAGGGAGGGCGGGAGAGAGGGAACGGAGGAUGUGUGAGUGUGUGUGUGUGUGAGAGGGAGAGACGACGUGAGGCGAGAGGAAAAGUCUUUACUCGGCGUUAAAAGCAAACAAAUCAGAGAUGGAACAAGAGCGGUAAUUGCUGCAAGACCGCCUUGAUUCUUGCAGUCCAGGGAACUGAGCCCACGGCGCGCAUCCGGCGAGGACAGCGGGCGACCGCAGGCGCUGCCAAGGGCUGCGGGACGUUGGCUUUUCCUCAGUAAAGAAAUCUUUUGGUUACUUUGACACCGUGGAAUAAAGAAGCGGGUAGAAGGAUCAGGCUCACCUUCACCCGCUUUAGGGGGAUUCCAGUUCGGAUGUCAAGAGAUUCCUGAGCCCUAUUUGCCAUCGGAGGAGGAAACACAUCCACACACGCGCGCGCACACUCGCACGCUCAGGGCCACACUCACACACCGUCCUCCACGAGCACACAGCACCAGACUUCGGUUCCCUAUGCCACUGGAUGGUGACGGCGGAUUGGCAUCUUGGAAGCGAUGCGAGAGCGAUAAGGCUGGCGCCGGCCCGCAAAAGCUGCAGGAGCAUCGCUAGGUGUUGCCGCCACCGGGAAACGGGGCUGCAGGAUGAGUAAGAGAUACUUACAGAAAGCAACAAAAGGAAAACUGCUAAUAAUAAUAUUUAUUGUAACCUUGUGGGGGAAAGUUGUAUCCAGUGCAAACCAUCAUAAAGCUCACCAUGUUAAAACGGGAACUUGUGAGGUGGUGGCACUCCACAGAUGCUGUAAUAAGAACAAGAUAGAAGAACGAUCACAAACAGUCAAGUGUUCCUGCUUCCCUGGGCAGGUGGCAGGCACCACACGAGCUGCUCCAUCAUGUGUGGAUGCUUCAAUAGUGGAACAGAAAUGGUGGUGCCAUAUGCAACCAUGUCUAGAGGGAGAGGAAUGUAAAGUUCUUCCAGAUCGGAAAGGAUGGAGCUGUUCCUCUGGGAAUAAAGUCAAAACAACUAGGGCAAACGUGUAAAACUCUUCAAGUUCGAAUGGAGAAGUAGAAAGAGAAGGUUUCUGCUGUGCCUGAUGACAAUUUUUGAUUUCUCCACACUCAAAAAAAUUUUGGCUCCACGUUGGAGCACUAGUUGUGGCGAAUCCUAGUGUUGGUCGGAUUCUGAGGAAGGGACAGAAGUUUCAUUGAGAAGUAAAGAUUCAAAACAACUCCAGAAAUGAGCUCCCGUCUGGGUUUAUUUCUCACAGAGCAGCAGGUAACCCAUUAACCCAGGAGAAACCAAGUGAUCCUCAAGGCUGAUGACAAUGAACAUACGCAUAGAAACUUAACUCCUGAGGUGAUCUUGAAGAUUUUAUACUGCUUGAAAGAGGCACUCAAGAGUCUAUUUCCAAGGGAUUUCAUGGCCUCUUCUUGAAAUCAAGACAUUUUAAAAGUCAGACAUGAACUUCUAUGUCAUGAAGAUUUCAGCAGAUUUGAACUGUGUUCAACUUGUAAAUUGUUAAAAGAAUUUGAAGUUGCUGUCUGUGGAGCCGGUGAAGAGUUGUUUUUUUCAGGGUGAUGUUGGAGACAGUCACCUUUUGAGUUAUCGGCUCCAGAUGUGACUGCUUUUCUUGCUUCUGCAAGCUGUAUCCCAAGGGCACUGUCCUUCUGUCCUGGAUGUGUUCCUGGGUCCUAUGUUCAUUGGCUAGUGGGACUAUACAUGGCUUUAAUGACGUUUCCUUUGAGAACUUUUCCUCUGGCAUGGUGUAGACUGAGACAAUUUUAUUUAUAUCUGAAUCUUGGAGCUCGGAAAGCCUACAUGUUUUAACAUCUUAAAGUUGCUUUUGUUAAAGGAAUGGAAAUAUAUAUCCAUUGGUAAUAAUGUUGGCAAGUAAUAGUUAUCUGAAUACAUCAAUCAUAUAAGAAUGUAUAGACAAGCUGACAUAUUUCCCUAAGGCUAACAACACCCUGCUGCAGCUCUUUGUCAAAUAGGUAGUAGUUAGAACUGGAUUACCCUUUUCAUUAUAUAAUACUUUGUACCUCUAGAGCACUCUCCCUUUCUGUUUUCUUUUUUUUAAGUGGGAUUUUCUUUAAUUUUUUUUUUAUGUUUACUUAUUCCCUUCACAGAAAUCAGCAGUGAGCAGUCAAGUUACUGGAUAGACUUCAGUUUCAGAAAGUUGCCAGGGAUGCAUGUGAGUUUCUGAUUUCUUAGCUUGAACAUUAUUCACUUAGAUUUUUUCUAGUUUUUUUUUUAAUUGUACUAUCUCAUUUUAAAAGACUUUCUUUUGCUUGCUCCCAAUGACUGUUUGAAUGCUUACAUAUUUGUUCAAUCUGUUGAUAGAAAAAAUUGUUCAUUUUCCUCAGUCUCGAAUGUAUAAAUAUUUGCUUACACUUUUCCCAUUCAAACAACUUGUUAGGCCAGUAUUUUGUGGCAUUUUUGUAGCCAUUUGAACAUUUGUGUUUUUGGUUUUACAGGAAAGUCAUAAAUAUUUAAAGGCCUUAAACAUGUAUGUGGUUUUUUUUAAGUUAUUAUAGAAUGUAUAAUUUUAUACUACAUUUAUUUUGUUUCAUUUGUGAUAUGAAGGGAGAGAAGAAUGAGAAUUGCAUAGCCAUUCUGUAACAAUAUUGUGUAAACCUAUAGUUUGAAGGAAUGCAAGAGAGGGAUUUCUGUGUUUUACUCAUUUUAGACUAUCCAGAAGAUGCUUCUGAAAUUGUCCUAUUAGAAUUUCCAUCAUGUUAGAGAAGGUAUGGAAAUAUCUUGUAUUCUGAAAACUCACUAACAUGGUCAAUUACACAUGCAUUGGUUUCCAGACUGGAGGCCCACAUGUACUGAGGAACUUCGGUCUAUUAGUUCUUGACAAUAUUCAAAGACCAAUAUACUACUCAGACACUUUCCUGGGAAGAAGAGCUAGAAAUGUAAAACUGGUUAAAAAUAAGAUCUGAAAAGUUUACAUCUCACAUUGAACUAAAAUCUACUGUCUCAUAAGUUCAUGAAAUUAACUGACAUUUUGCCUCCAUUUUAAUUAUUCAUAAAAUGAACUAGAUGGUUUUGAGUGGAUUUUCACAAUGGCCCAAGACUAUAUGAAAUUAUAAAAAAGGAAUAAUGAUUGUCCUGGAGUUUCUGCAUCAAUUAGAAUAAAAUUAAUUUCUUUGUAACCAAGUGAAAAACUAUACCUUUUGGAAAAUAUGAAUUUGUCCUAGGUUUGUUUGAGAUUAUAGAUCAUGCUUCUCAUUUUUUAAACUAUGUUCUUUAACAACUGGAAACUCUGUAUUAUAUACAAGUGUAAUACAUGCAUACAAUAGAAAAAAAUACAUGGAAUUUCAAAUAUACUAAUUAGAUUAUCCCCAGUAGAUUAAUGUUGUGACUAUUCAGAAAAGGUGAAUAAAAUUGGGAUAUAAAAUGGGCUCUCUUUCAUAAAUUACAUUUAGAGAUCUGUUUUCUGUGUUUCAUUUUAAAAGCACUUUAGUUAUUAUCCAGGAAGACCUCUGAAUUCCUGGGGAAGAUGACAUAAAUUCUUUUUUUUUUUUAAAUAAAGAUUCAUGGCAAAUUUUGCCAUUUACACAAGA